rnacentral:rRNA from 1 species
AAAGGGCGCGUAGGCGGGUUGGCAAGUCCGCUGUGAAAGCCUGUGGCUUAACCACAGAGGGUCGGUGGAUACUGCCAGUCUUGAAGGUGCUAGGGACAGAUGGAAUUACCAGUGUAGCGGUGAAAUGCGUAGAUAUUGGUAGGAACACCAGUGGCGAAGGCGGUCUGUUGGAGCACACUUGACGCUGAGGCGCGAAAGCUGGGGGAGCGAACGGGAUUAGAUACCCUUGU